rnacentral:rRNA from 1 species
GACGAACGCUGGCGGCGCGCCUAACACAUGCAAGUCGAACGGAGUCACGAGGAGCUUGCUUUUCUUGACUUAGUGGCGAACGGGUGAGUAACGCGUGAGUAACCUGCCCUGGAGUGGGGGACAACAGUUGGAAACGACUGCUAAUACCGCAUAAGCCCACGGAUCUGCAUGGAUCUGCGGGAAAAGGAUUUAUUCGCUCUAGGAUGGACUCGCGUCCAAUUAGCUAGUUGGUGAGGUAACGGCCCACCAAGGCGACGAUUGGUAGCCGGACUGAGAGGUUGAACGGCCACAUUGGGACUGAGACACAGCCCAGACUCCUACGGGAGGCAGCAGUGGGGGAUAUUGCACAAUGGGGGAAACCCUGAUGCAGCGACGCCGCGUGGAGGAAGAAGGUUUUCGGAUUGUAAACUCCUGUCGUUAGGGACGAUAAUGACGGUACCUAACAAGAAAGCACCGGCUAACUACGUG